AUUGAACGCUGGCGGAAUGCUUUACACAUGCAAGUCGAGCGGCAGCGCGGGGGCAACCCUGGCGGCGAGCGGCGAACGGGUGAGUAACAUAUCGGAACGUACCCCGUCGUGGGGGAUAACACAGCGAAAGCUGUGCUAAUACCGCAUACGACCUGAGGGUGAAAGCGGGGGAUCGCAAGACCUCGCGCGAUGGGAGCGGCCGAUAUCGGAUUAGCUUGUUGGUGAGGUAAAGGCUCACCAAGGCGACGAUCCGUAGCUGGUCUGAGAGGACGACCAGCCACACUGGAACUGAGACACGGUCCAGACUCCUACGGGAGGCAGCAGUGGGGAAUUUUGGACAAUGGGGGCAACCCUGAUCCAGCCAUUCCGCGUGAGUGAAGAAGGCCUUCGGGUU
rnacentral:rRNA from 1 species